GGGAAAUUGCCCUGAUGUGGGGGAUAACCAUUGGAAACGAUGGCUAAUACCGCAUAAUAGCUUCGGCUCAAAGAGGGGGACCUUCGGGCCUCUCGCGUCAGGAUAUGCCCAGGUGGGAUUAGCUAGUUGGUGAGGUAAUGGCUCACCAAGGCGACGAUCCCUAGCUGGUCUGAGAGGAUGAUCAGCCACACUGGAACUGAGACACGGUCCAGACUCCUACGGGAGGCAGCAGUGGGGAAUAUUGCACAAUGGGCGCAAGCCUGAUGCAGCCAUGCCGCGUGUAUGAAGAAGGCCUUCGGGUUGUAAAGUACUUUCAGCAGUGAGGAAGGCGGGUACGUUAAUAGCGUGCUCGUUUGACGUUAGCUGCAGAAGAAGCACCGGCUAACUCCGUGCCAGCAGCCGCGGUAAUACGGAGGGUGCGAGCGUUAAUCGGAAUUACUGGGCGUAAAGCGCAUGCAGGUGGUUUGUUAAGUCAGAUGUGAAAGCCCGGGGCUCAACCUCGGAAUAGCAUUUGAAACUGGCAGACUAGAGUACUGUAGAGGGGGGUAGAAUUUCAGGUGUAGCGGUGAAAUGCGUAGAGAUCUGAAGGAAUACCGGUGGCGAAGGCGGCCCCCUGGACAGAUACUGACACUC
rnacentral:rRNA from 1 species